rnacentral:rRNA from 1 species
UACGAAGGGGGCUAGCGUUGCUCGGAAUUACUGGGCGUAAAGCGCACGUAGGCGGCUUUCUAAGUCGGGGGUGAAAUCCUGGAGCUCAACUCCAGAACUGCCUUCGAUACUGGAGAGCUCGAGUACGGGAGAGGUGAGUGGAACUGCGAGUGUAGAGGUGAAAUUCGUAGAUAUUCGCAAGAACACCAGUGGCGAAGGCGGCUCACUGGCCCGGUACUGACGCUGAGGUGCGAAAGCGUGGGGAGCAAACAGG